UACGUAGGGGGCAAGCGUUGUCCGGAAUCAUUGGGCGUAAAGAGCGUGUAGGCGGUCCGGUCAGUCGGUUGUGAAAGUCAAGGGCUCAACCCUUGAAUGCCGGCCGAUACUGCCGGGCUAGAGCCCGGAAGAGGUGAGUGGAAUUCCUGGUGUAGCGGUGAAAUGCGCAGAUAUCAGGAGGAACACCGAUGGCGAAGGCGGUUCUCUGGGCAUGAUCUGACGCUGAGGAGCGAAAGUGUGGGGAGCGAACAGG
rnacentral:rRNA from 1 species